CCCAGGAGUGUGAAGUGGCAACGUGCUGAUGGGUGCAACCUCCGUGCAUGGGUUCUUGAAAGAAUAGCCAUUGUUUCUGGAAAGUCAUCCUAGCCUGCUGUCCUCAGGCCUGCAGAGGCUGACUGCUUUACUCCUGAGAUAUUGCUGUUUGUCUGACCAAAUGCCCCCUCUCUGCUCAGCUUAUUCCCACCCUGAUGGACAAACAGGCUGGCAGGCCCAUGGAGAGUCCUCUGCAGACAGGAAGCAGAGACCCCAAUGCAGCCUUAAAGCUAAUGCUAAGCGAAGGGGAGAAGCCCAGAGGUACUUCCUCCUGGUGAUCUUAUUUAUUAUUCAUGAAGACCUAUGGGGGUAGGUAUUGCCAUUAUUCUCAUUUUACAGGAAACUGAGGCCCAGAGAUGGCAAGCACAUUGCCAAGCCUGAACAGUGGCAGAACAGAGAUGCUAACUCAGGAAGUGGGACUCCACUCUCAACCACUUUUAACCACUGCACUAUGUUAAGUCGUGUUCUCUUUGCUUGGCAAAGCUUCCUUCGUAGAAUUUGGAAUAAGGCAAGUAUUUUCUUGAAUUGGAUGAGUCAUUUGAACCUUUUUUUUUUUUCUUUUUUAAAGUAAGGUAUCCUUCCCUCUAAGAAAAACUCCCUAGAAGAGUUAUCUUAAAAAAAAAAAAAUAAAAAAAAGAGUCAUCUUAGAGAUUGCA
rnacentral:lncRNA from 12 species